GUUUUCUUGCACAUCUGCACACAUGUGAAAAGUUCUUUGCUGGUUCUCUAUUAAAAUUAAUCCACUGAUUGAUGAGUUUUGAGGAUCUUGAGGCUUGUUUGCUGAUGAAACUUUGUGUUUUCAUCGGCUUGCUCUGACUUAAAAUAAGGUAGCCUUUAAUCUCAUCUAGAGAUAAACUUUUCCUUUUUGAUCUUUAGCGAAGAGAGUUCCUAAAGGAAUCUGUAUAGAGUUGCCUUUUUCUUGUCAUCAUUUUAGAAUUUGUCUCUUCAUGGUGAAAAUCCUGUAUUUCAGUCUUUUUAAGUCAUCAUGGGAAUUCAAAUGAGGAACAGUUGUUUAAAAUUAAAUUGUGUGUGUGUGUGUUUUUUUUUUUAUGUUUCUAUGUACU